GCAGGCUGCAACCCGCCUGCAUGAAGUUGGAAUCGCUAGUAAUCGCGGAUCAGCAUGCCGCGGUGAAUACGUUCCCGGGCCUUGUACACACCGCCCGUCACACCAUGAGAGUCGGGAACACCCGAAGUCCGUAGUCUGACCGCAAGGGGACGCGGCCGAAGGUGGGUUCGAUAAUUGGGGUGAAGUCGUAACAAGGUACC
rnacentral:rRNA from 1 species